GAAAGACAGAGAAAGAGAGCCAGGGACAACAACGUCACAUUAGAAAGGGAGCAAAGAGCAGAUGACCGAGUUUAUUAAACUCAGGAGCGACAAUGAGCACGUUUACUGGUGCGAAAAACUCAGCCACUGUGGGUUGGAGGGCCAUUCUUGAGAAGAUGGGCCUGCAGGGUAAAGUCACCCCUUUGCAGGCAAAAAAAGAAAAAAAAGAAAUACAAAGACUUCAAGUAUCCAGGGUCAGGCGAGGGAGUGAGCGGGAAGCCCACUGCUGCUACAUGGCCCUGGUUUGCCCUCAUGGAUGAGGUGUUAGGACAGAGGCCUUCUACCAAGCCUCCAGUGCUAAUUGCUUCCAUCCAUGAGGACACUCCAGGGCCCAGUUCAGCAGUGGGCAACCAUGUGCUGGAUGAGGAAGAGCAGGAAGAUGAGGGCCAGGUGGAGCAAAGAGGGGCAAAAAGAAAGAAGGACAGGGAUGAGUUUUUGGAUUUAAUGAGAGAGGACAUGAGAAUGCAGAGGGAAAUGGAGGAAAGAAAAGCACAGGAGGCGGAAGUUAGAAUGAACAGACUGUUUGGUUUGCUUGAGAAACUUG